CUACACAUGCAAGUCGAGCGGAAACGAAGAGGUGCUUGCACCUCUGGCGUCGAGCGGCGGACGGGUGAGUAAUGCUUGGGAAUAUGCCUUAUGGUGGGGGACAACAGUUGGAAACGACUGCUAAUACCGCAUGAUGUCUACGGACCAAAGUGGGGGACCUUCGGGCCUCACGCCAUAAGAUUAGCCCAAGUGGGAUUAGCUAGUUGGUGAGGUAAUGGCUCACCAAGGCGACGAUCCCUAGCUGGUUUGAGAGGAUGAUCAGCCACACUGGGACUGAGACACGGCCCAGACUCCUACGGGAGGCAGCAGUGGGGAAUAUUGCACAAUGGGCGCAAGCCUGAUGCAGCCAUGCCGCGUGUGUGAAGAAGGCCUUCGGGUUGUAAAGCACUUUCAGUAAGGAGGAAAGGUUAAGUGUUAAUAGCACUUAGCUGUGACGUUACUUACAGAAGAAGCACCGGCUAACUCCGUGCCAGCAGCCGCGGUAAUACGGAGGGUGCGAGCGUUAAUCGGAAUUACUGGGCGUAAAGCGUACGCAGGCGGUUUGU
rnacentral:rRNA from 1 species